rnacentral:pre_miRNA from 1 species
UGAUGACCUGAGGCUCCCCGGCUGUCACUCUGUCCCAGGCCCGUCCUGGCCCCAGGCACAGGCUGAGUCACGGUAGUGUCUGUGGGGUCCUGACCC